CUUCUUUCUGCUUUCAUUUCUGAGUAGGGGUUGAGAGUAUGCAUUUUUCAUUUUAUGACAUCCUUAUCUACUUUUUCUUGUUUCUAUGAAGGAGGGCAGGUUAAUGUCAAUGACCUAACGAGUGUUCUACAAAACACUGGGUUCAGACUCGAAGCAAAAGAAAUCAAGGACCUGAAGACUCACCUGCCAGUGACUGGAAAAAAAGUCAGUGUCAGUAAUCUGGAAACUCUUCUAAAUAAUAUGGAAAUCGAAGUUGGGAAAGAGGAAUAUGAGGACCUACUGAACCAUCUGCCAGUUGAUGAAAAUGAAAUGGUUGAUGUGAAUGUGGUGAUGGAUGAAGCAAAAGUUUUUACAGGAGAAAAAGUUAAUGUCAGUAAUCUGGGGAAUGAGCUGAGGAAAAUGGGGCUCGUACUCACUGAUGAGGAGCACAAGAAGCUGCUGAAAACUCUGCCAAUUCACACUAGUGGAAAGGUAUAUAAGAAUAGAUUGCUCAAAGGUGUGAAGGCCCUCAACGGGCCAAGGGUCAAAAUAAAAAAAGUGGAGACUUUUUUGGAAAACAUGGGAACUAAAAUCAAGGAUGAGGAGCUUGAGGAACUCAUGACCCAACUACCAACUGAGGCCUCUGCUGGUGAUACCCUGGCAAACAGGGUCUGGAGUGGACCUCCAGCAAGCUCCAACAGACCUGCAGCUGAGGGAACUGAAUGAUAGAAGGAAAACUAACAAACAGAAAGGAAUAGCAUCAACAUCAACAAAAAGGUCAUCUACACCAAAACCCCAUCUGUAGGUCACCAACAUCAAAGACCAAAGGUAGAUAAAACCACAAAGAUGGGGAGAAACCAGAGCAGAAAAGCUGAAAAUUCUAAAAACCAGAGCACCUCUUCUCCUCCAAAGGAUCGCAGCUCCUCACCAGCAACAGAACAAAGCUGGACAGAGAAUGACUUUGACAAAUUGACAGAAGUAGGCUUCAGAAGGUCAGUAAUAACAAACUUCUCCAAGCUAAAGGAGCAUGUUCAAACCCAUCUCAAGGAAGCUAAAAGCCUUGAAAAAAGGUUAGACAAAUGGCUAACUAGAAUAAACUGUGUAGAGAAGACC
rnacentral:sRNA from 1 species